CGGGUGAGUAAUGUAUGGGGAUCUGCCUGAUGGGCGGGGAUAACUACUGGAAACGGUAGCUAAUACCGCAUAAUGUCUGCGGACCAAAGCGGGGGACCUCCGGGCCUCGCGCCAUCAGAUGAACCCAUAUGGGAUUAGCUUGUAGGUAAGGUAACGGCUUACCUAGGCGACGAUCCCUAGCUGGUCUGAGAGGAUGAUCAGCCACACUGGGACUGAGACACGGCCCAG
rnacentral:rRNA from 1 species